CGUUCAUUAUAGUGUUGGUCUCGUAUAAUCUCGGGGAUUGGCCCGAAAGUUUCUACCCGAAAACCACAAUUUUCGGACUACGAGCAAGCUUGAAGCUGGU
rnacentral:ncRNA from 2 species